GUGUCAGCAGCCGCGGUAAUACGUAGGCAGCAAGCGUUGUUCGGAAUUACUGGGCGUAAAGAGUACGUAGGUGGUUUGCCAAGUCCGAUGUGAAAUCUCCUGGCUUAACUGGGAGGGUGCGUUAGAUACUGGCAGGCUUGAGUGUGGGAGAGGAGAGCGGAAUUCCUGGUGUAGCGGUGAAAUGCGUAGAUAUCAGGAGGAACGCCUGUGGUGUAGACGGCUCUCUGGACCAUUACUGACACUGAGGUACGAAAGCGUGGGUAGCAAACAGGAUUAGAAACCCCUGUAGUCC
rnacentral:rRNA from 1 species